rnacentral:rRNA from 1 species
UUUUAUAUAGAAUUAUAUAUUUUUAUUUAAUAUAGUUACUCAUAAAGUCUAUGUGUAAGUGUUAUGUGUUACUGAAAAGGAAUUUUAUUUAAAAAUUUAAAAGUAAAUUUAAUGUACCUUUUGCAUAAGGGAUUUUUCAUAAAAAUUAAAUAUUUAUUUUUCUCGAAAUAAAUUGAUCUAAAAUUAAUAUUUAAUUUAUAUUUCAUUAUAAAUUUAAAACUUAUUUUAGAUGUGAAAUGCUUGGCAAAAUUUAAGAUAGCUAGUUUAUUAAAAAAAAAAUUUUAUAUUAGUCUAUAAUUAUUUCUUUAAUUAAUAUUUUUAUAGAUUAAAAUCUUGGGGAUAAGCUAGAGAUUAAAACUUUUUAAAAAUUAAGGCACAUUUAAAUACAAGAAAUACAAUUGUUCUUUAUAUUGUCAUAAGUAAAUUUAAAAAAUUCUUUAAAUUUAAUUUAUUUUUAAUAAAAUAAAAAAUAAUUUUUAUUUUUGAAAAUGAAAGUAUUAGUAAAAUUAUUUUAAAUUUUAAAAAAUUUGAAUUAAUAAAUUUAUAAAUUAAAAUAAGUUUUAAUAACUCGGCAAAAUUUUUCUUUGACUGUUUAAUAAAAACAACUUAUUCAGAGAUAUUUUAUUGAAUAUAAAUCCUGCUCAAUGAAAUUUUUAAAUUGCUGUAGUAUUUUGACUAUACAAAGGUAUUGUAAUAAGAUUUUAAUUGAAUGCUAAGAGAAUGGAACUACAAAGAACAGCUAUUUUAAACUUAAAAAUUAAAGUUAUUUUAAUUUGUGAAGAAACAAUUAUUAAAAUUAAGGACAAGAAGACCCUAAGAAUUUUAUAAUUAGUAAGUUUUUAUAAUAAAAAGUUACUAAUUUUUAGUUGGGGCAACUAAAAAAUAUUAUGAACUUUUUAAUAACUAAAAUGAACCACUAUUAUUGAUAACUUGAAAAAAAUACUCUAGGGAUAACAGCGUAAUAAUUUUUGAUAGAACAUAUAGACAAAAUAGUUUGCGACCUCGAUGUUGGAUUAGGAUUCUUUUUUAAUGAAGAUGUUAAAAAAAGGAGUUUGUUCAACUUUUAAAGUCCUACAUGAUCUGAGUUUAGACCGAUGAGAAUCAGGUUGGUUUCUAUCUUAAUUAAAAUAAAUUUUUGGUUAGUACGAAAGGAAUUCCAAAAUUUAAUUUAUUUAAAAUGAAAACAAUUUUAUUUGCAUCAUUUUUUGGAAUU